rnacentral:rRNA from 1 species
UCAAGAAACUUCCACAAUGGGCGAAAGCCUGAUGGAGCGACGUCGCGUGAUGGACGAAGUGCUUCGGCACGUAAACAUCUUUUAUGUGGGAUGAAAUUAUUGACAGUACCACAUGAAUAAGGGGCUCCUAACUCUGUGCCAGCAGGAGCGGUAAUACAGAGGCCCCAAGCGUUAUCCGGAAUCACUGGGUGUAAAGGGUGUCGAGGCGGUUGUAUUAGUCGUUCGUAAAAUCUACGAGCUUAACUUGUAGGCGGCGAACGAAACGGUACGACUUGAGGUUUGGAGAGGUGCGUGGAACUCACGGUGUAGGGGUGAAAUCCGUUGAUAUCGUGGGGAACACCAAAGGCGAAGGCAGCGCACUGGCCAAAAUCUGACGCUCACACACGAAAGCUAGGGUAGCGAAGAGGAUUAGAUACCCACGUAGUCCCUGAGCGGGCUGGCAAGGCGCAU